AAUAAGGGGAGCAAAGGACAAAAAGGACAGUGUGGGCUGGAUGGCGUUAAAGGAUCUGACAGUCCUCCUGGGGAGAAGGGAGAGAAAGGCAUCAAGGGGUUUCCAGGACGUAGAGGACUUGAUGGCAAGCCUGGAAGUACUGGCAGACAAGGACCUCAGGUACUGUGCAGUCUGUGAAAGCAUGUGUGCCCACAUGUGUGUAAUCAUACUUCUGCUGAAUUGA
ensembl:lncRNA